rnacentral:rRNA from 1 species
UGCAAGUCGAACGGCAGCACGGGAGCAAUCCUGGUGGCGAGUGGCGAACGGGUGAGUAAUACAUCGGAACGUGUCCUGGAGUGGGGGAUAGCCCGGCGAAAGCCGGAUUAAUACCGCAUACGCUCUGUGGAGGAAAGCGGGGGAUCUUUCGGGACCUCGCGCUCAAGGGGCGGCCGAUGGCAGAUUAGCUAGUUGGUGGGGUAAAGGCCUACCAAGGCGACGAUCUGUAGCUGGUCUGAGAGGACGACCAGCCACACUGGGACUGAGACACGGCCCAGACUCCUACGGGAGGCAGCAGUGGGGAAUUUUGGACAAUGGGGGAAACCCUGAUCCAGCAAUGCCGCGUGUGUGAAGAAGGCCUUCGGGUUGUAAAGCACUUUUGUCCGGAAAGAAAUCCUCUGGCCUAAUACGUCGGGGGGAUGACGGUACCGGAAGAAUAAGCACCGGCUAACUACGUGCCAGCAGCCGCGGUAAUACGUAGGGUGCAAGCGUUAAUCGGAAUUACUGGGCGUAAAGCGUGCGCAGGCGGUUCGCUAAGACAGAUGUGAAAUCCCCGGGCUUAACCUGGGAACUGCAUUUGUGACUGGCGGGCUAGAGUAUGGCAGAGGGGGGUAGAAUUCCACGUGUAGCAGUGAAAUGCGUAGAGAUGUGGAGGAAUACCGAUGGCGAAGGCAGCCCCCUGGGCCAAUACUGACGCUCAUGCACGAAAGCGUGGGGAGCAAACAAGAUUAUAUACCCUGGUAGUCCACGCCCUAAACGAUGUCAACUGGGUUGUCGGGUCUUCAUUGACUUGGUAACGUAGCUAACGCGUGAAGUUGACCGCCUGGGGAGUACGGUCGCAAGAUUAAACUCA